CGCGGCCCGAGUGGUGCUCAUUAUUAUUGAGCUUAAAGCGUCCGUAGCCGGCCUCGUAAAUCUUUGGGUAAAUCGGGCAGCUCAACUGUUCGAAUUCCGAGGAGACUGCGAGGCUCGGGACCGGGAGAGGUUCGAGGUACUCCGGGGGUAGGGGUAAAAUCCUGUAAUCCUCAGAGGACCACCAGUGGCGAAGGCGUCGAACUAGAACGGAUCCGACGGUGAGGGACGAAGCCCUGGGGCGCAAACGG
rnacentral:rRNA from 1 species